CUGAACUUAAGCAUAUCAAUAAGCGGAGGAAAAGAAAAUAACAAUGAUUCCCCUAGUAACUGCGAGUGAAGAGGGACAAGCUCAAAUUUUAAAUCUAUCGGGUUUUACCUGAUCGAGUUGUAAUUUGAAGAUGGCGUUUUCUGUGUUUCUGAUCAGUCCAAGUCCUUUGGGAUAAGGCAUCAUGGAGGGUGAGAAUCCCGUUCGGUUGAUCAGAUUCGCUUUACGAUACGUUAUCAAAGAGUCAAGUUGUUUGGGAUUGCAGCUUAAAAUGGGAGGUAAAUUUCUCCUAAGGCUAAAUAACGGCGAGAGACCGAUAGCGAACAAGUACCGUGAGGGAAAGAUGAAAAGAACUUUGAAAAGAGAGUUAAACAGUACGUGAAAUUGUUGAAAGGGAAACGAUUGAAGCCAGUCGUACCUUCGGGUAAUCAGCCUUUUGGGUGUGAUUUUGUGGAGCGUGAAGAGUUAAACGCCUUCAUGCCUGCAUAUUCGUGCACUUUGGGUGUACUUGCCCGUAUGGUUGGUUAACAUCAAUUUUGGUGGUCAUAAAAUGACUGGAGGAAUGUAGCUUCGAUCUUGUAUUGAAGUGUUAUAGCCUUCGGUAGAUGUGAUGAUCGAGAUUGAGGAUUGCAACGGAUACCCUUCGGGGCUACCUGUCUGGUCUCUGAUCGUUGCUCUGGUGCCGAAAGCUUGCUUACGGUUAUCAAAGUCGAUGGUCAAUAGGUUAGAACGGGUUAAAUUCGUUAAGGAUGUUGACGUAAUGGCUUUAAACGACCCGUCUUGAAACACGGACCAAGGAGUCUAACAUAUAUGCGAGUGUUAGGGUGAUUAAACCCUUACGCGUAAUGAAAGUAAUUUUGGUGGGAACACUUUUGUGCACCAUCGACCGAUCAGGAUAUUUUUUGAUAGAUUUGAGUAAGAGCAUAUCUGCUAGGACCCGGAAGAUGGUGAACUAUGCCUGAAUAGGGUGAAGUCAGAGGAAACUCUGAUGGAGGCUCGUAGCGGUUCUGACGUGCAAAUCGAUCGUCAAAUUUGGGUAUAGGGGCGAAAGACUAAUCGAACCAUCUAGUAGCUGGUUCCUGCCGAAGUUUCCCUCAGGAUAGCAGAAACUCGUUAACAGUUUUAUGAGGUAAAGCGAAUGAUUAGAGGCCUUAGGGUUGAAACAGCCUUAACCUAUUCUCAAACUUUAAAUAUGUAAGAAGUUUAUCGUUACUUAAUUGAACGUGAACAUUCGAAUGAGAGUUUCUAGUGGGCCAUUUUU
rnacentral:rRNA from 1 species